rnacentral:rRNA from 1 species
GGAAAGGUGAAAAGGACCCCGGGAGGGGAGUGAAAGAGAACCUGAAACCCUGUGUCUACAAGCUGUGGGAGCACCUUAUGUGUGCAACCGCGUACUUUUUGUAGAACGGUCCGGCGAGUUACGCUUACUGGCAAGGUUAAGCACUUUAGGUGCGGAGCCGUAGGGAAACCAAGUCUUAACAGGGCCUUAAGUCAGUAGGAGUAGACCCGAAACCGGGUGAUCUACCCAUGUC